GGAGCGAGUAGGCCUUGUUUUGAAGCUCAGAUGCCUAAAAAUCCUAAAAACAUCACCAACUACAAGUUUCACAAGGAGCUGGGAAAAGGAAGCUUCGGAAAGGUUAUGCUGGCGUCGCUUAACAACUGCAGAGAUCAAGUGGCAAUCAAAGUGAUUCGGAAGACUACGAGUGUAGAGGACAUCCUGACGGAGGCGCGCACUCUCAGAAUCACUGGAGCUUGUCCCUUUCUCUGCCAUGGAUAUGGAGCUUUCCAAACGCAGAUGCAUGCGUUUCUUAUAAUGGAGUUCAUGAGUGGAGGGACCCUGGAACAGCUUAUAAAAAAGAGAGGUUGCCUGAACAGGGACAUCAUACAAUUCUAUUCUGCAGAGAUGAUCAUCGGUCUACAGUAUCUGCAUUCAUGUGGUAUUGUGCACCGAGAUCUUAAACCACCAAACAUCUUACUGAGCGCCGAGGGGCACAUCAAGAUCAGUGAUUUCGGCCUAGCUGUAGAAGGGAUUUUCGGCAACAAGAAGAUGUACGAUCUAGUAGGGUCCUACCACUACAUGGCUCCAGAGAUUCAUCUGAUGAGUGGAUAUGACGCAGGAGUGGAUUGGUGGGCAUUUGCCAUUAUUCUGUGCCAAAUGGCCGCUAGAAGAUCUCCAUUCCACGAAGGCUUGACACUGCUCAACAUCAUCGAAUCAGUCACCUUGAAGCAGCCUUCCAUUCCAGAGGAUAUCAGCCCUGAUCUGAAAAGUCUGAUGCAGGAGCUCUUUGAGAAGAAUCCAGACAAGCGCCUGGGCACAUCGGGGGAUAUAAGGAAACACCUGUUUUAUAGAUCGGUUGACUGGGCAGCGUUGGAGAACAGGAAGAUUCCACCUCCUUUCAAGCCACAAUCUCAGGUCCUUUCUCCUUCAGUGCUGUGGCUGGAGGUAUAUUCUUGAAACGCCAAACCCCCAUCCCCUUAGCCAGACUAUGACAAAUGUGGUUGGUGCUUGGCUGGUUCUGUUCUGGGCAAGGCAGGAUACCGACUGUGGAUGUCAGUGCAGUCUGUGAAGAGCCCCUGUCAUUCGUAGAAGAGCCAGGCUGCAUCAACCCAUCAGGUGGUAUAAAAAUGAUUCAGGGUCUGUCAUUCCUGAGUCCCAGUUGGGAAAGAUCUGCUGGUCCCUUUUGCCUCCACCCUCUGCGCUCUCCACCUAGGGCCCCCGCCAUCGGCCCUCCUAUAUUCAGACCCCUGCCAUCAGCCUUCCCCACUUAUGCC